rnacentral:rRNA from 1 species
CUACGGGUUGCACCAGUGGGGAAUAUUGCACAAUGGGCGCAAGCCUGAUGCAGCCAUGCCGCGUGUAUGAAGAAGGCCUUCGGGUUGUAAAGUACUUUCAGCGGGGGGGAAGGGAGUAAAGUUAAUACCUUUGCUCAUUGACGUUACCCGCAGAAGAAGCACCGGCUAACUCCGUGCCAGCAGCCGCGGUAAUACGGAGGGUGCAAGCGUUAAUCGGAAUUACUGGGCGUAAAGCGCACGCAGGCGGUUUGUUAAGUCAGAUGUGAAAUCCCCGGGCUCAACCUGGGAACUGCAUCUGAUACUGGCAAGCUUGAGUCUCGUAGAGGGGGGUAGAAUUCCAGGUGUAGCGGUGAAAUGCGUAGAGAUCUGGAGGAAUACCGGUGGCGAAGGCGGCCCCCUGGACGAAGACUGACACUCAGGUGCGAAAGCGUGGGGAGCAAACAGGAUUAGAUACCCGAGUAGUC